CUGGCCGUAAACGAUGGAUACUAGGUGUGGCUGGUAUUGACCCCAGCCGUGCCGAAGCUAACGCGUUAAGUAUCCCGCCUGGGGAGUACGACCGCAAGGUUAAAACUCAAAGGAAUUGACGGGGGCCCGCACAAGCAGCGGAGCGUGUGGUUUAAUUCGAUGCAACACGAAGAACCUUACCAGGGCUUGACAUGCACGUGGUAGCGGAGCGAAAGCCGAGCGACCCUUCGGGGAGCGUGCACAGGUGC
rnacentral:rRNA from 1 species